CACGUAGGGCGCAAGCGUUGUCCGGAAUUAUUGGGCGUAAAGAGCUCGUAGGCGGUCUGUUACGUCUGCUGUGAAAACCCGGGGCUUAACCCUGGGCUUGCAGUGGAUACGGGCAGACUAGAGGCAGGUAGGGGAGAAUGGAAUUCCCGGUGUAGCGGUGAAAUGCGCAGAUAUCGGGAGGAACACCGGUGGCGAAGGCGGGUCUCUGGGCCGAAACUGACGCUGAGGAGCGAAAGCGUGGGGAGCGAACAGG
rnacentral:rRNA from 1 species